UGCCCAGGAAUUCAGGCCCAGCCUGCCUAGCCCUGCUCACCAGCGCAUCUGUUUCCAAUCAGGGUAUAAAGCACAUUCUUUCUGCUAGCAGGCAGCCGUGCAGGCCGAGAGCCUGGGGACCACGCUAAUUGAUUGCUAAAUGAUCUUGUCAUUUCCAAAAGAGGUCUCUAGGCCUGCCCUUUGCUCUGCCUCUACACUCCCCACAGGCUGACAGCUUAAAAAUUAACUCGUCAGCUGCCUCCGGCUGCAGAGACUCUCUGAAACCUCUAGUGUGGGAAGGCCCUGGGAGCCUCAGAGAAGGUCCUGACUGAGCAUCCUUUGCUGAAGAUUUGUGGCUUGAAAGACACCGGCUGCCACAGGCACCAGCCACUCAUUCUCCCUGAUUGUACAAGGUCCAGACUACGGAAGAGAUGAGGAGCCAAGGGCUCAGGAGUAUUGUAUGGCUCCAGGUCACACGGAGCUGGCGGUUGAGAUGCAAUGGGCUCUGACCUCCGGUUGCUGUAGCUGUAGCUGGCAAAUGAGGACAGAGUGGAGUGUCCACCAUGGCUGCAAUCAAGGAAGCUUGUCCUGUAUUCUUGUUGGAUGGCCUGUGCGGGAGCGCACCGCUCGUUUGUUUUAACACUCGCUUACUUGGUUUCAGUGUGUUUGUGUACGAGCACAUGGGUAUGAGUGCAGAUUCCUGUGGAAGCCAGAGGUACUGAAUCCCCCUGGCGCUGCAGGCCUGUAAAGCCCCAACCUCUGAGGUAAACGGGUAAGAAAGAAUCUGACACACAAGGCUAGUGUCGGACCUGCAUUGCCAUUGCCACUUACACUGUGACCUGUGUGAGCCUCGGAUGCUCCAGGGAGGCCUGGCAUGUGCCAGUGCUGAGAGAGCAGGGUGACUCACACCUGCAAUCCGACGGCCACAAGUUCGGCUCCACAGUGCAUGCGAGCCAGCCUGGGCUACCUGGGGUACAGCCGGAGGGGGCGGGAGAAGAGUGCUUUGGAAACUGUAGGAUCCUUUGAAAGUAUUAUCACCAUUAAUCAUACGUAUUAGACCCGGUUGGAGAAAUGGCUUGCUCAACCUUCCUGUUGAGCUAAAGUCUGCCUAGGUCUCCAUCCAGGCCUUCAUCCAGGCCACUCUCCCUUUGCUCUGUUCUUUGAGGCCAGGCUGUACCUGUUACAAUUUUCACCUUGCGUCUUGUCUUGUUUGUGCCUCCCCAUAAUUCCAGUGACGGUGCAGCCACGCCCAGGCUAGGAAUGACCUUCUGGAGGCUCCGAAAGGCCAGGAACACUGCUCAAGGCCCCGAAGACGACGGGAAUCAGCUUCUGUUCCAGCUGCUGUGCACUUUGCUUUCUGAAUACAGCUGCCUCCCAGAAGCCGGGCUGUCAAUCUCCCUCUUUGAGGACCACUGUACUCAGCACACAGCUUCACUCAAGUUCAUAGCUGUGGCAACCCGUUCCCUAGAACUCGCUCUGCUUUGGGAGAGUGGGAAAUGGACAACCAAUGAGAGGGACUGGGGGGUAAUGAGCCUUUCUAGGGGUUACAUGGUGCCUUUGUGAGGCAGGCAGUUCUCACAGCCCCCAAGAGCCCUGCUGAUAAAAUCGUUUGAGGUGUGAGA